rnacentral:rRNA from 1 species
UACGUAGGUGGCAAGCGUUGUCCGGAUUUACUGGGCGUAAAGUGUGCGCAGGUGGCCGCGCAAGUCGAGUGUGAAAAUCCCCCGAGCUUAACUUGGGAAUUGCGCUCGAAACUACGUGGCUCGAGUGUGGCAGAGGAAGGUGGAAUUCCACGUGUAGCGGUGAAAUGCGUAGAUAUCAGGAGGAAUACCAGUGGCGAAGGCGGCUUUCUGGGCCUACCCUGACGCUGAGGAGCGAAAGCGUGGGGAGCAAACCGG